rnacentral:lncRNA from 1 species
UAUGCGACAAAUAGAGAUAUAUUGGGUGUGGGAAAUCAGAUAUGAUCUGGUUUUACUAUGAAAAUUACUUGGUUAGGGCGUCCAACAUUUGUUUUUGAUGUGGAAUUGAAAGAAGGGGUGACAACUAAUGGAAGAGUCUAAACAUUGUUGGACUCUUCACCCUAACUUCCUUACAUGCCAAAUAAAAAGAGAUUUAUUCUUUCUUCUAUGCAUGUAAGAGAGACU